ensembl:lncRNA
CUCCAAUAAACAUAAAUACACAGUAGCGUCGUAACGUCAGUCUGUUAAAGCGGUAAAUAAACGUAUCUUAAAUGACCGUGAAAAAGCUCGUCACUCACCGGGAGGGCACGAGCGGCAGCGGCGUCGGUGUCUUCUGUCUGUACAUCCACACCGGGGCGAACGUUAAUACACUCUCUCUCUCUCUCUCUCUCUUUCACUCUCUCUCUCUCUGGUGCGCGCGUGCAGCCGAAGCUUGCGCCGUUCUACAGCCUCGCGCUUCCGAGAGCAGGCUGGCAGGGGCACGCGGGAGGUCCGGGCACCGUUGACGGACGGAUGGGUGAACGUCUGCUAGUGUGCGCACGUGAGGUGAGGGAGCCGCGGCUGAGCACGUGCAGAGCAGAGCAGCAUCCGGUCCUUUACAGUUGUUGAUAAUCGGACGGUUUGUCCUGCAGUGAAGAUCAGAGCAGACACCGAGUGUUGACACAAGAGCUGCUGCGCUGUCACUGCACUGAUGAUACCAGCAGAGACCUGCAGUGUGAGGAACACACACACACACACACACACACACACACACACUGGUUCUCAAAGCUGAGGUCCUGGGCUGUGCCCAAAGAAAUUUGGGAGGCUACCAGAAUGUCCUCAGACGGAUGCUUUAACCCAAAUUUUGUUUUCUCACUUAGGAUUGGAGGAAAGUGUGGGAACUGGCUCGAAAAGCUCCACAUGCAGAUGAUUUACAGACACUGUCUAAAGUCUAAAGUCCUGCAGCUGCCAUAUCUUGGAUCUUUGGUCAUGCUGAGGAGGCGCUGCUUCCAAAUCAAUAGAACACGAGCGGGACCACGUGUCAGUUCCUCCACCUGGCUCGAGGCGUCUGUGUUUAUAAUGAGCGGGACUUUUUCAAGGUGUGCCAAUGGAAACGUGUCAGACGGAAGGAGCUCUUCAGAAUAAGUGUAUAUCAGCGUUUGACUUACUGGAAACUUUGACAAUGAUUUACUAUGUUGUGGCUUUAAAAGGUGUGACCUGACAGGAAGGAAACAAACAACCAGUUCAUGACAAAUCACAUGUAUUCUGACGUCACAAAUGCCAGAACUGGCCAAUUAAUUUGACUUCAGGUGCCACAAGAGCAAACAAUCUGUUGCAUAUAUCUCAACCUAAAGUAUAUUUAGGGUUUUCCUUUUGAUUUUCUAUAGAUCCUGUCCUGAAGGCCUUAAAUUUGACAUAUGUGUGAUUCAGGAGGUCAGAUAUAAUCUGAGGUACAGAGUUUGUCAGCUUAGUAUGACCACACUGUGAGUGUUUGUAGACCUUUAGCUCCCUGUCUGAAGUCAAACUGGUGUCGAGUAUCACUGCACAUGCUGGUUUUCCACCAAAAAAAACUAUUGACAAAGCAAGGCUCCGGUUUCGUUUUGCACAACACAAACAAGUGGGAGUUUCAGGAAAAGUCUGACAAAAAUAGUGACCCAGUGUGAUACUAACAUGUUGCUAAACUUUAAUACAGUCAUAUAUCUUAUACACUUUAACAUAUACAAGACAUGUUUGGUAAUACAACUUGUGAUGACACAGAAGUGUUUAAAAAUUGUGAAAUAAUGAAUUAAACCCUGGAUUUCUGGUAGGCUGUGGGGGUUUUCCGCUGCAUUUCAACUUAUACCGGUUUUACCAGUAGCUCAGCUCAUGUUGGUCACUGUUUGCUAACAGAUCUCACCCACAUCCGCAAUUAUUGCCAUUGUUCCUGUUGUGUUUUUGGAUUUGCAUGUAUGGGCAUUGUAAAUGACUAUCCUAUAAUUAUCUACACCAGCUUUAUUCAAAGUCUUCAAUUCAUCACUUCAACAGUUCAUGGACUCUACUGUAAUGAUUUAUGAAUCAUAUAUUCAUUUACCUCCUCUAAAAAACACGUGCAAGGGCCAGAUUUAAAGUUUGAACUUGGUGCUUUUAUUUUGUAGAGCAAUGGGACAAUAAAAACAAGAAAGUGUC